GUGCUUGCUUGGGCAGCACAUAUACUAAAAUUGGAACGCUACAGAGAAGAUUAGCAUGGCCCCUGUGCAAGGAUGACAUGCAAAAUCAUGAAACACUCCAUAUUUUA